rnacentral:rRNA from 1 species
UCCGUAGGUGAACCUGCGGAAGGAUCAUUACCUAGAGUUUGUGGGCUUUGCCUGCUAUCUCUUACCCAUGUCUUUUGAGUACUUACGUUUCCUCGGCGGGUCCGCCCGCCGUAUUGGACAAAAUUAAACCCUUUGCAGUUGCAAUCAGCGUCUGAAAAACAUAAUAGUUACAACUUUCAACAACGGAUCUCUUGGUUCUGGCAUCGAUGAAGAACGCAGCGAAAUGCGAUAAGUAGUGUGAAUUGCAGAAUUCAGUGAAUCAUCGAAUCUUUGAACGCACAUUGCGCCCCUUGGUAUUCCAUGGGGCAUGCCUGUUCGAGCGUCAUUUGUACCUUCAAGCUCUGCUUGGUGUUGGGUGUUUGUCUCGCCUUUGCGUGUAGACUCGCCUCAAAACAAUUGGCAGCCGGCGUAUUGAUUUCGGAGCGCAGUACAUCUCGCGCUUUGCACUCAUAACGACGACGUCCAAAAAGUACAUUUUUACACUCUUGACCUCGGAUCAGGUAGGGAUACCCGCUGAACUUAAGCAUAUCAAUAAGCGGAGGAA